UGGAAGGUAGCAUAAUUAAGUGUGUUUCGGUUACAUUGAAAGGUAGGGUUUAACUUUUCUUCCAA
rnacentral:tRNA from 1 species